GGUUCUGGAGUCUCCGCUGGCGAGAGAUGCCACGUUCUCAGCGUGGAGGUCGCGGGUUCGAUUCCCGUCAGAACCA
rnacentral:tRNA from 1 species